rnacentral:rRNA from 1 species
GACGAACGCUGGCGGCGUGCUUAACACAUGCAAGUCGAACGGAAAAGCCCUGCUUUUGUGGGGUGCUCGAGUGGCGAACGGGUGAGUAACACGUGAGUAACCUGCCCUUUACUUUGGGAUAACUUCAGGAAACUGGGGCUAAUACCGGAUAGGAGCUCCUUCUGCAUGGUGGGGGUUGGAAAGUUUCGGCGGUUGGGGAUGGACUCGCGGCUUAUCAUCUUGUUGGUGGGGUAGUGGCUUACCAAGGCUUUGACGGGUAGCCGGCCUGAGAGGGUGACCGGCCACAUUGGGACUGAGAAACGGCCCAGACUCAUACGGGAGGCAGCAGUGGGGAAUAUUGCAAAAUGGGCGGAAGCCUGAAGCAGCAACGCCGCGUGCGGGAUGACGGCCUUCGGGGUGUAAACCGCGUUCGCCUGUGAAGAUGAGUGAGUGACGGUAAUGGGUAAAGAAGCACCGGCUAACUACGUG